rnacentral:lncRNA from 10 species
GGUCUAUUCAAGACUUCAGCUUCUCCUAGUUCAGUCUUGGGAUGCUGUAUGUGUCCAGGAAUUUGUGUAUUUCUUCUAGAUUUUCUAGUUUAUGUGCAUAGAGGUAGUUUAUAAUAUUCUCUGGUGGUGGUUUGUAUUUCUAUGGGCCCACAGGCUGAACUGACUGGGAAACCUGAACAGCCAAAGUGGUGGCCUGCCCCACCCCCAGGCACUUUUUCCCAGGGGGAAAUUAGAGCUCUGUUCAUGGAAAACUGGCUGGAAUGGCUGAAGCCCUGGCUGGGAGGUCUUGUCCAGUGAUGAGGAGUGAAUCAGUGUCUCACUUAAAGAAGCAGUCUGGCCACGAUAUGGAAAAGCAACUGUGCUGUGUUGGGGGAGACCCUUCCUCAUCUGGGCCAUUUGGACUCUUCAAAGCCUGCACGCUGGAAUGGCUGAAUGGACCAAACCACAGAGAUGAUGGCCACACCUCCCCUUGGGAGCUCCUACCAGCCUUAGGCAAAUUCCACCCUGUUGCCAUUGGCUGGCUAGAAUUUCAAGCCAGUCAUGGGUCAAGUUGUUUGGCUAAUCAGUCCCAAUGCGAGAACCUCGAUAUUUCAGUUGAAGGUACUGUAUUCUCUUGCCCAUUUCUUUCCUCUUCAUGAGUACCGUGGACUGCAGCUGCUUCUUAUCGGCCAUCUUGACCCCCCUCCUAUUUCAAUGUUUAACAUUAGAAGUGUUUUGGGUCUUUAUUUAGAAGUUUGGUGAUGAUUUUUUUUACCAAAAAUAUGAUGUAAGAACUUAAAUCUUGUGUACAUCAAUUGGCCUAUGGUAAAAUUGAUUUUGUUAUAUGUCAUUUCACUUAAACUUACAGCUUCCAAGAACUUAUCAAUUAUGUUAAUGAGGACUGACUGUACUUUUCCAAAUCUAUUGAGAUCAUCAUGAAACAUUUUUCUUUUAUUAAUAUGAUGGAUCACACUAAUUAAUUUUCAGAUUUUAAACCAACUUUGAAUUCUGGGGAUAAAUCUCCUUUGUCAUUGUGUAAAUCAUUUUUAUAUGUUGCUAGAUUCAAUUUGCUUAUGUUUUGUUGCAGAUUUUUGCUUCUAUGUUUAUAAGAAUAUCAGUCCAUAAUAUUCUUUGUUGAACUUUGGCCUGAGGGUACUAAUGGCCUUGUGGAAUGAGUCAAACAGUGUUCUCUCUUCUUGUUUUUUAAUAGUUUGUGAGUAAUUGAUAUUAACUCUUCUGUAAAUGUCUGAUAGAAUUCACUAUUAAAUCUCUCUGGUCCUGGGUUUUGUGUGUGUGUGUUGGGAAGAGAAAAUUUGUUUAAAAUUACUAACUAAAUAUCACGUUUUGUAUUUCUUAUUUUAUCAGAUUUCUAUUCUUUUUGAGUCAG